CCUACGGGAGGCAGCAGUGAGGAAUAUUGGUCAAUGGGCGCUAGCCUGAACCAGCCAAGUAGCGUGAAGGAUGACUGCCCUAUGGGUUGUAAACUUCUUUUAUAGGGGAAUAAAGUGCAGUAGGUAUACGGCUUUGCAUGUACCUUAUGAAUAAGGAUCGGCUAACUCCGUGCCAGCAGCCGCGGUAAUACGGAGGAUCCGAGCGUUAUCCGGAUUUAUUGGGUUUAAAGGGAGCGUAGGCGGGUUGUGAAGUCAGUUGUGAAAGUUUGCGGCUCAACCGUAAAAUUGCGGUUGAUACUGGCAUCCUUGAGUACCGUAGAGGUAGGCGGAAUUCGUGUUGUAGCGGU
rnacentral:rRNA from 1 species